GCCGAAGUAGCUCAGUGGUAGAGCACAGCUUUCGUAAAGCUGGGGUCGUGGGUUCGAAUCCCACCUUCGGCUC
rnacentral:tRNA from 1 species